rnacentral:tRNA from 1 species
GCAUUCUUAGCUCAGUAGGAAUAGAGCAACAACCUUCUAAGUUGUGGGUCGCAGGUUCGAUCCCUGCAGAAUGUA